AGAACAGAGCAGUUUGAAUGUAUACCAGGUGGCUUCUUUUGUGGUGUUCCCUUAUGAAUAUUUACAUUGAAAUAUUGAUCCUAAGAACAUGAGACAGUAGUACCUUAUGUGACAUCUGUGUCUUCUGUUUCCCAGGUGUUGCACAGAAAGAUGGAAAGUUGUCUCCUUUCAGGUGACAUAAGUGCCAUCAGCAGUUGCCAAAGUGUAGAGCUUUGCAUCUGGGAGCUGGCAGGUAAGUUAGGGAUGGUUAAUUCCUGCUUUAAUAGGAUUUGUAACAUCCAGACCAGGCAAUAUGCUGCCAUAAUGAUGUGAGAUACUGAAUAGCUUUAUUUUACAAAUCCUGUGAUACUCACUCUUAAUUUGCUUUUGCAAAGUGCAGGGAAAUAGAACAUUCUCAUAUAUUUCACAUGAAAACAUUUUAAAGAUCUGUACUUAUGAACUCUCCAACAAGUUUUAUCGCUUGGUGGUGUGCUUUGUGCUGUUUAUUACUGGGGUGCAUGGGGAAGUUUUUCUUAUGAGGGAUGAUAAACAUGCAAAAUCCUAAUUAAUUAGGAGUUGGUAAAAGUUCAAAUACUAUUGCUGUUCUGUUUAAAAACAAAAUUAAGAUACUAGUGAGGUAGAAAGAAGAAACCAGAUAGGUCCCUUACUUUUCCAAUGUGUUGGUGUGUUUUUUUUUUUUAAAUGCUCCUUGCUAAAAGACAUCUAUCCUAUCAUCUGAGGACUUGGAUAUUAUUUUUACAUCAGUUCUUUCACAAAUAAGCUAUUAUUUCUGUUAUUGUAAUCCUACAUGUACUCUAAAGCCUAAUAAAAUUCUUCCUCAUGUAUCUGAGAGAAAAAAAUGUAUUCUUUGUUUUAGGAAGGCCAGUGGCUGUGGCUCUGGUGGAUUAGCAGAUGGGAAGCUUAUUCCAGAGAAACAGCUCUUUCAGGAAAAUUACUUUGACAGAAAACUCUAAUUCAUGUGACCAGAAUUCACAUGCCUUAAAAGUAAUUAGGGUAACUGGCUUCAGUUAAAAAUAAACACAUAAACCAAAUCCAACAGUAGGUUUGGCUUUUGCUCAGCAGCCUUUCCCUGGCUGUGGGUCUGUCCUGCUGCUGGGGAGAGUGGGAUAAAUGCGGGGAGAGAAAGAGUUACUGCUGUGGGGGUGAGAAGCAUUUAUUGCUGGGAAAAUGAAAUCAUCCUCCUUUUCGCUAGAGCUCUGUCUUUCAGGAGCCAGGGUCACAAGCAGCGUCACCAUGGAGGUGCUGUGUCUCAUGGCCAUGCCUUGGAGAGACUGCGGCUUGGUAGAUGGUCAGG
rnacentral:lncRNA from 1 species